GCGUGGUGGGCGAGAUCCCGCUGCUGUCGACGCGGGCGGGUCCCCGCGACGGCGACGCGUGGCGGCAGCGCCUCAAGGAGGAGUACCGCGCCCUCAUCGCCUACACCUCCGUCAACAAGGCCAAGGACAACGACUGGUUCCGCAUCUCCGCCGCCAACCCGGAGGGCACCCGCUGGGAGGGCACCUGCUGGUACGUCCACAACCUCCGCCGCUACGAGUUCCCGCUCCAGUUCGACAUCCCCGUCGCCUACCCCCAGGUCGCCCCCGAG
rnacentral:lncRNA from 1 species